rnacentral:rRNA from 1 species
GACGAACGCUGGCGGCGUGCUUAACACAUGCAAGUCGAACGGAAAGGUCCUGCUUUUGUGGGGUGCUCGAGUGGCGAACGGGUGAGUAACACGUGAGUAACCCGUCCUUGACUUUGGGAUAACUUCAGGGAACUGGGGCUAAUACCGGAGAGGAGCUCCUGCUGCGUGGUGGUGUUUGGAAAGUUUCGGCUGUUGUGGCUGGACUCGCGGGUUAUCAGCUUGUUGGGGUGGUAGUUGCUGACCAAGGCUUUGAAGGGUAGCCGGCCUGAGAGGGGGGACGGGCUCCUUAGGCCUGCGGUAGGGCCCAGACGCCUAUGUGCCGCAGCAGUCGGGAGUCUUGCACAACGGCCGCGAGCCUGAUGCAGCGACGCCCCGUGCGUGAUGCCGUCCUUCGGGUUGUAAACCGCUUUCGCCUGUGCCGAAGCGUGAGUGACGGUACUGAGUCAAGAAGCACCGGCUAACUACGUG